rnacentral:tRNA from 1 species
AAAAAUUAGUUUAAUUAAAACAUUAGUUUUGGAUACUAAAAUUUUCUUUAUAUAAACCAUAGAUAUAUUUUUA